GAUUAUUGAAAGUUUGUGUUUGUAGGAGUUAUGUGAAAUUGAAAGAGUAUGGUUUGCUUAUAUUGAAGUGAAGAGGCUUGGUCAAUAAUGUAAAAGUUGGUGGUGGGAUGGUACCACCCCGAGACUGUUGAAGAUGAAUGGUUGUUAAUAUGGUUAGGAGUUGUAUUUUUUGUUGUCGUUUAAUGGUGUUUGUUUAAAUUUCAGAGUAGAGAAUGGAGGCAGUUUUUGAGCGCUACUGGGUGGGUAGAGGUGACUGAGGUGAAGAAUUGUGUUUUGAGGUGUAAAGGUAAAGAAAAUUGAAAAGGUAUUGUAUAAAUGUAUGUUUUUGUUGAUUUUGGUAGGUUAGAAAGAUAGGUUUGUGUUGAAGGUGUGGUUUACGAAUGAGUGAUAGGCGUAAAAUAGUGAUGGAAUUGUUCGUUGAAGGGGAAGAUGUUGGUAAUAUUUUGUGGGUUUACUUUGAUAUGAGGUGAGUUUGGUAGAUUGUUUGUGUAUUAUUUAAUGAGGUAUAAGUAAGAAAGUUAUUUGUGGUGUCAUAAUAAGUUUUUGACUAAUGUUUAUUUUAUUUGUUAAUGUCGACAGUGAUGUGAUGGAUGGGGCCAGCCGUGGUGAAAAAGGCUAAAAGCCAAAUGGAUUUACGAGACGUGACCGAUGAAAUACGAUUGGAAGAGGGAGGCAGGCAGUACGUGGUUGUUAUUUGUGAGGGCGUACUUGUCGGCAAGGGAGCGAAAGGGCAAGGACUGGAGAAUUUUACAGUUGAGGAGUUUGAAUUUGGCCAAGAUUUUCGACUUGUAAGUUGAGUGGAAUGUUUUGGGGCUGGGACUAGAGUGAAAAUGUUUUGUGGGGAGAAGGCAUGAAGAUGUAAAUGGAAGUUAUUUGUAUGAAAGUGCACAUGUGGAGAGUAAAAGUUGUGUUUGAGGAUAGUAUCGUUGUUACACACUCGAGGCUGUGUAAUGAUUGGUACUAUCCUGGGUGAAUGUGUUGAGUGGAUGUUUGUUGGUAGUAGGUUAGUACUGUUGUUACAUACUGGAGGCUGUGUAAUGGUUGGUACUAGCCUGGGUGAAUGUUUUGUAGUUGUUUAUACCGGACGCGUAUGGAGUGCCUUAAAAGUUUGUGGUGAAAUGUGUAAGAGUGUUUGAUUUAGGGGAAAGUGGUUGUGGGAUUCUGGUUUUUGUGCGAAAGCGUACAAAACGAUUUGUCGAGUAAAUUUUUGUGAGUGGUAGAAGAAGUUUGGUGUUGGUAGACAUGGGCUUAGCCUAGGUAAGAAUGAAGAUGUUUUUUGGUAAAUGGUGGUUUGUUUUAGGGCAGGAAGUGUGUUGGAAAGGGGUGGAUUUGAAGUGGGUGCACGAAGAUUGUGUUUUUUUUUUCAGUGGAGUUAUCCAUCGGUUGCAGACACGUUUUGGAGCCGUCUCUUUGGAAGCAGCACACGUAGUGGGAGUCGCCAUUAGGUUGGGACAAGGGUGCUGUGGUGGAGAGACAGUUGGUUAACGAAUGGAAGACGACGGGCAAAGGUUUUGUGAAGAUAGGAAGUGAGUUGCAGGGAAGGCGGCGAGAGCGAGGGAAUAACCGAGGCAGUUGAAGAUGGAUGUGUGAUGACUUUGGUGCACCAUGUUGAGAGGAGAGUGGGUAAAUUGGAAGAGGAACGAGGAGGCCGUGGCACGUAUUGGAUAUUGCAGUUAGAGCAAGUUGGCAUCACCAGACUGAUUUGUAUAUGAUAUAUUUGAAGCACCACGAAGAGUUUGCAACGUAUCCAGAUAGGAAAGAGCAGAGGACGAAAGGCCAGUAUUUGCUGUAAGAAAGUGGAUUUGCAGCAGCUCGGUUAUAACAAACUUUCGUGUGUACGGCGUUGUCCUCGUCAGGUACGUACUGCUGUUUAUGGAGACCCAGCAUGUGAGGGUUCAUCCUCUGGGCCGUACCGACACGGUCGCGUCGGUUUGCAAGCGUCCGGAGAAGCGGCAUAUUUGUCGUGCGUCCGAUGGAGAAUGCCAUUUGUCCCACAGAUCCGGCGGGAGCAGACGGAGUUGCGGUGGACAUCCAGCGGACGGUGUCCCCCAGGAGUGAUUUUUGUGGGCGGGUGAGUGCGCAGCAGACCUUGGGAAAUAUUGUCCAGCUCUGCCGGGAAGAAGCACGCGGCUAGUGCCUCGUACCUGUGAUAAAUUUGAUAGAAAGGGUCAUUGUGACCUCCAUCCUUAGUGGGGGAGUAAAAUGAAAUUGGAAUUUGGUAAAUGUUUUCUCUUUUUCAGAUUGAAGUGAGGGGGGUGAAGUCGGUGUGGCCAAGUUGAUGUCGAGGAUUGCGUGUAGGUGCCGUCCCCGUGAUUGAGAAGAUGACGUCCUUUGAACAUAUAGCCGUCGUCCCAGUGACUGGGGUGACUGGAGCCGAGAAGAUGUCCUUUGAACGUAUAGCCGUCGUCCCCGUGAAGCCGAGAGGACGUCGUCCGUGGUGCAAGGAGUCGAGGAGAUGAUGUCAUUUGAAUGUAUAGCCGUUGUCCCUGUGAGUGGAGCCGAGAAGAUGAUGUCCUUUGAAGUAUAGUCGUUCGUCCCUGUGACUAGGGCGUAUGGAGCUGAGAAGAAGUCCUCUAACGUAUAGCUGUCGUCCUUGUGAUGAGCUGAGAAGAAGUCAUCAAUGUGACUUGGGUGUAUGGAGCCGAAAAGAUGUCCUUUGAACAUAUAGCCGUCGUCCCUUUGCCUGGGGUGUGUGAAGCCGAGAGGACGUCGUCCAUGUGACCUAGGUGUAUGGAGGCGAGAAGAUGAUGUACUUUGAACCUAUAGCCGUUGUCUCUGUGACUGGAGCCGAGAAGACGUUGACCGGGGUGUAUGGAGCCGAGAAGAAGUCGUCAAUGUGACUAGGGUGUAUGGAGCCGAAAAGAAGAUGUCCUUUGAACAUAUAGCUGUUGUCCCUUUGCCUGGGGUGUGUGAAGCCGAGAAGAUGAUGUCCUUUGAACGUAUAGUCGUUGUGACUGGAGCUGAGAAGACGUUGUCCGUGUGACUGGGGUGUAUGGAGCCGAAAAUAUGUCCUUUGAAUAUAUAGCUGCUGUUCCUUUGCCUGGGGUGUGUGAAGCUGAGAGGACGUCGUCCAUGUGACCUGGGUGUAUGGAGGCGAGAAGAUGAUGUCCUUUGAACGUAUAGCCGUUGUCCCUGUGACUGGAACCGAGAAGUUGUCCUUUGAAUGUAUAGCUGAGAUGUUUGAAGCAGCAAUUGAUGUACUGUACUGUAUUAUAUUGCUAUGUGUAUAGAAUAUAUGUAUUUGAGUUGAA